UACGAAGGGGGCUAGCGUUGCUCGGAAUCACUGGGCGUAAAGCGCACGUAGGCGGAUUGUUAAGUCGGGGGUGAAAUCCUGGAGCUCAACUCCAGAACUGCCUUCGAUACUGGCGAUCUCGAGUCCGGGAGAGGUGAGUGGAACUCCGAGUGUAGAGGUGAAAUUCGUAGAUAUUCGGAAGAACACCAGUGGCGAAGGCGGCUCACUGGCCCGGUACUGACGCUGAGGUGCGAAAGCGUGGGGAGCAAACAGGG
rnacentral:rRNA from 1 species